rnacentral:rRNA from 1 species
GUUUGAUCCUGGCUCAGGAUGAACGCUAGCGGCAGGCUUAAUACAUGCAAGUCGAGGGGCAGCGGGAGUAGCAAUACUUGCCGGCGACCGGCGCACGGGUGCGUAACACGUAUGUAAUCUGCCCAUCACAGGAGGAUAGCCCGGAGAAAUUCGGAUUAAUACUCCAUAAUAGAAGAUAAAGCAUUUUAUUUUCUUGAAAGUUCCGACGGUGAAGGAUGACCAUGCGCCCGAUUAGCUAGUUGGUGAGGUAAUGGCUCACCAAGGCUACGAUCGGUAGGGGGCCUGAGAGGGUUAUCCCCCACACUGGUACUGAGACACGGACCAGACUCCUACGGGAGGCAGCAGUGAGGAAUAUUGCGCAAUGGAGGCAACUCUGACGCAGCCAUGCCGCGUGCAGGAAGAAGGCGCUACGCGUUGUAAACUGCUUUUAUCCGGGAAGAAACCCCAGGACGUGUCCUGGGUUGACGGUACCGGAGGAAUAAGCACCGGCUAACUUCGUG